CCUACGGGAGGCAGCAGUGGGGAAUAUUGGGCAAUGGGCGCAAGCCUGACCCAGCAACGCCGCGUGAAGGAAGAAGGAUCUCGGGUUGUAAACUUCUUUUAUCAAGGACGAAACAAAUGACGGUACUUGAUGAAUAAGCCACGGCUAACUACGUGCCAGCAGCCGCUGUAAUACGUAGGUGGCAAGCGUUAUCCGGAUUUACUGGGUGUAAAGGGCGUGUAGGGGGGCCUGCAAGUCAGAGGUGAAAACCAUGGGCUCAACCCAUGGACUGCAUUUGAAACUGUAGUUCUUGAGUGUGGGGGAGGCAGGCGGAAUGCCGUGUGUAGCGGUGAAAUGCGUAGAUAUCCGGAGGAACACCAGUGGCGAAGGCGGCCUGCUGGGCAAUGACUGACGCUGAGGCGCGAAAGCGUGGGGAGCGAACAGGAUUAGAUACCCUAGUAGUC
rnacentral:rRNA from 1 species